UUGCACAUCUCCUUUAAAUAAAUUUGUAUGGAAUAUGGCUAACACAAGAGUAUUAUUAGAUUUAUGGAAAGAUAAUUACAAAGCAUUAACAUCUGCAAGAAGAAACACAAAUAUUUACAAACAAAUGGCAGCUGAAUUUUCAAACACAUUUAAUAUCGUACCUCCGUUAACUGGAUAUCAAAUUUAAUUUAAAAUUAGUAAUUUGAGGAAACAAUUUAGACGAGAAAAACUUCAAGUUGGUUCAUCGGGAAGAGCUCCUAGUAAAUGGUGGCCUUACGAUAUUGUUGCCAAAAUAAUAGGUGGUGAAGCUUCCCUUGACAAUGACCUUUUAUCUCAAAGUCAAAACUUUUCUACUCAAGAUUUUCAAGAUGGUCAGAUUGCCACGAUGGAAGAUGGCAAGGAGACUGUCAGUAUUUUAAAUAUUGAAGCUUUGGAUGAUACAAGUGAC